rnacentral:rRNA from 1 species
AUUGAACGCUGGCGGCAUGCUUUACACAUGCAAGUCGAACGGUAACAGGGUGCUUGCACCGCUGACGAGUGGCGAACGGGUGGGUAAUGCGUCGGAACGCACCGAGUAAUGGGGGAUAACGCAGCGAAAGCUGUGCUAAUACCGCAUACGCUCUGCGGAGGAAAGCGGGGGACCUUCGGGCCUCGCGUUAUUCGAGCGGCCGACGUCUGAUUAGCUAGUAGGUGAGGUAAGAGCUCACCUAGGCGACGAUCAGUAGCGGGUCUGAGAGGAUGAUCCGCCACACUGGGACUGAGACACGGCCCAGACUCCUACGGGAGGCAGCAGUGGGGAAUUUUGGACAAUGGGCGCAAGCCUGAUCCAGCCAUGCCGCGUGUCUGAAGAAGGCCUUCGGGUUGUAAAGGACUUUUGUCAGGGAGGAAAUCCUUAGCGCUAAUACCGUUGAGGGAUGACAGUACCUGAAGAAUAAGCACCGGCUAACUACGUGCCAGCAGCCGCGGUAA